ACCAGGAUGGCCGAGUGGUUAAGGCGUUGGACUUAAGAUCCAAUGUGCAGAUGCACGCGUGGGUUCGAACCCCACUCCUGGUA
rfam:Trichoplax adhaerens TRIADscaffold_8 genomic scaffold, whole genome shotgun sequence.